ACGCUGGCGGCGUGCCUAAUACAUGCAAGUCGAGCGAAUGGAUUAAGAGCUUGCUCUUAUGAAGUUAGCGGCGGACGGGUGAGUAACACGUGGGUAACCUGCCCAUAAGACUGGGAUAACUCCGGGAAACCGGGGCUAAUACCGGAUAAUAUUUUGAACCGCAUGGUUCGAAAUUGAAAGGCGGCUUCGGCUGUCACUUAUGGAUGGACCCGCGUCGCAUUAGCUAGUUGGUGAGGUAACGGCUCACCAAGGCAACGAUGCGUAGCCGACCUGAGAGGGUGAUCGGCCACACUGGGACUGAGACACGGCCCAGACUCCUACGGGAGGCAGCAGUAGGGAAUCUUCCGCAAUGGACGAAAGUCUGACGGAGCAACGCCGCGUGAGUGAUGAAGGCUUUCGGGUCGUAAAACUCUGUUGUUAGGGAAGAACAAGUGCUAGUUGAAUAAGCUGGCAUCUUGACGGUACCUAACCAGAAAGCCACGGCUAACUACGUGCCAGCAGCCGCGGUAAUACGUAGGUGGCAAGCGUUAUCCGGAAUUAUUGGGCGUAAAGCGCGCGCAGGUGGUUUCUUAAGUCUGAUGUGAAAGCCCACGGCUCAACCGUGGAGGGUCAUUGGAAACUGGGAGACUUGAGUGCAGAAGAGGAAAGUGGAAUUCCAUGUGUAGCGGUGAAA
rnacentral:rRNA from 1 species